GAAUUAGGUGCUUAAUGGUUAAGUUUUCUUUUUAGGAAGAGAUUGUCGGUUCGAUUCCGACCUAAUUCA
rnacentral:tRNA from 1 species